AUGGACUGCAGCAACCACGAGAAAAAACUCCAACGAUCCAACUUUAUCUUACCCCCGAGCAGGCGCACGACCCCCACCUCCUCCUACCUUCUUCCCCGCACGCACAUGCCCGCCGCCGGCGCGCCCCAUCCCGUGCCCUUCUUUGCCGCUGGUGCGCCCCAUCUCGUCGACUUAUUUGCCGCCGGUGUGCCCCUUCCCGCGGCCUUCCCCACCACCUCCCGCCCUGCUCCACCCUCCCUCGUCCCACCACCUCCUUGCCCCGAUCCACACCUUCCAGACCCCAACACCUCUACCAACGGCGCGCGCAGGUCUCCCUCCCACUACCGCCUCCCUCCUCUCUAG
rnacentral:rRNA from 1 species